ACAAUGUCUAAGAUGUUUGAAGUAUGGUC
rnacentral:piRNA from 1 species